GCCGAGGUGGUGGAAUUGGUAGACACGCAAGUUUCAGGUACUUGUGGGGGCAACUCCGUGGAGGUUCAAGUCCUCUCCUCGGCA
rnacentral:tRNA from 2 species